CGCAGCUGCUGACUGCAUUGUGCGGCCGACCUCAUCAUGCCAGCCAAUCAUGAGUGGCGGCUUGUUUGUGUUUCCAUUCCAUCUCUUCUCAGUCGUGAUUGCAUUUGAACCGUGGCAAAAGUAGCGUCAGUAAGAACAAGUCGAGCGUGUCUCUCCUCUCUCCAUGUCCGUCUCCCUGAUGUCCUAUAAAGGUCCUGUUGCACUGUACAGAUGCUGCACAGACUUUCAGGAAAUCAUCACUGACUGGAAGGACAACAUCCUGCGGCUGUGGGGUGCUUCAGGAGGUGCAUGUGUACUGACCACAGGGCUACAUGUUCCUGUGUUCAGGGCUGUAGUGCUCUGGGCUGUGGAGAUGCAGUAGUUCAUGCUGAGCCUGGGGUCAGAUCACUCAGACGAGGAGGGGUGAAUUCAUCAGCCCCCGCAGAGCCUGUAAGGCACUCAGACUUAUCCAUCAUCAUACAGCCCUGAUGCUUUACUGGAAGAUGAGGGGGAGGAGGACAUGAAGGACAGAGAGACGGCUCAACCACUCAGAGUCUCGACUCAUACCGGUUCCCACGUACCUUCUCGCCUGCAGACACCGGUCUCCUCUUCACUCCCGCUUCCUCAGCUACGGAUACGACUCCUCCCCUUCAUCCCUCACCUGUCUGCCCCUCAACCCUUCAUCCACCACACCUCAACCUCUCCGUCAUCCCUGCAUGGCUCUAGAGGGAAAAGUGAGGGGAUCACAAAGUCCUUACAAUUUAUCCUGAGAGGAACAUGAAUGUCUGCACCAAAUUUCAUGGCAAUCAAUUAAAAAAUUGCUGAGAUUUCACUCAAAACCUGAAAUGUCAACAUCGUGGUGGCGCUAAUGGAAAAGUAAUGGGAUUGCCAGAGUCAAUAGAAUGCAUCAUGAACGUCUGUACAAAUUUCACAGCAGUACAUCCAUUCAUUGUUGGGACAUUUCAGUCUGGACUAAAGUGGUCAAACGGACAGAAGAGGCAUCGAUAGAUCCACACCAGAAGCGUGGCCUAAAUAAAGAAUAAAUACACCCAUCUGGCAAAAAACUGUCUUUAGCUACUCGGGGGAAGUUCAAGUUAAAUGAAAAGAUAUUAAAUAAAUCAAUAAAGAGAUCCCAGGAAGCCCAAAUGGCUUGACCUAACUUGUGUCAGAGGAAUAAGGAAUGAUGCAUCAGAAUGUUUCAGUCAGAUAAAUAACUUAUUAAUUUAUGAAAAUUAAAAUUGCAACAGUAAUGGAACAACUGUGUCAGCAGGGAAGAGUUAGGUUAUUGGUGUAAACAAAGUGAAUAUUGUCAGAUGUUACCCCAACUGGUGAUAGCUGCUGGUUCAUUUCUGUACAUGUGAGUUUGGGUUGUGUGGGCUUUGUGUCUCUGUUUACGUGUUUGAGUAACAAUGUGUAUGUGUCUAUUUGCUUUUUUUUUCCUGUGUGUGUUUGUGUGUGGAAGGACGAUCACAGACCCUCUGAUCUGAGGGAGGCAAAUGCCAGAUCACACUUUCCUUUCUAUCUCUCUCCCUCUCUUUCUCUUCCUGUCUCUUUUCAUCUUGCCGUCUCCAGAGAGAAGGUAUGUGUUGACUACGGUGACAUCUGACCAGAGAAAGCCUGUGGCUCAUACUGUGGCACACACAAAAACACAAAGUCUUCCCCGAUGAGUUUCUGUAGUGUACCCCCUUGUCUCAACCCCCGAGGCUGCACUCAGAGCAUAUUUCCAGUGGCCAAAGAAAGAGAGGGCGAGAGAGAGAGAGAGAAGAAAAUAAAGCUGUCAUGGUCUUGCCAGAGAUGUCAGAUGGAAGGUAGGAGGGAGCACUGAGGGAGCACUAAGGAGUCAGGAGAGAGGCAAUGCAACUCUGACAUACAAACUCAAAAGUCCUUCAUUAGCAUUGGAGAGAUUAAGUUUGUAGCAAUCUUUGUCAAAGUAUGAGUAAAAAAGCUGAAUAAUGAACAAGAGUGGCAUACUGGUGAAUGUAUAAAUAGUUACAAAAGUUCAGUUCAUCCAUUUAACAGACCUGCAGUGAACUGGCAUGUAAACACACAGCAGCAUAUAAACAAUGAGUAACUCUAUGUACUCUAACCAGCAAUCUAAUGGUGUGAUUGACAAGGUCCAAGUGACACAUACUUACUGUAGCAGCAACGGGACUGCACUGCAAUGACUCCGUACCAGCGAUGUCCAAAUAUACAAUCAGUGCUCUCGGUAAGACAGUAACCUAUGAGGAUUUGAUGACUGUAUAUGGUGCAGUGGAGGUGACCGUUAUGAUAGUGGAGGUGUUGAGGUUGCUCUUCUGUGCAGCCAUAUCAGAGUCUGCAUUGCCUUCCAUAAUGUAAGAGAACAUAAAGACGUGCAUUUGUUGUGGAGUGUUGGAUCCUGAGAAUUGCUGACAGCUUUCCGGAUGCAGGGAAUGCUGUAAAUAUCUUCAAAUGCUGGAAGUUGUGAUCCAGUGAUUUGUUGGCCGGUUCUGAUAACUGACGAGUGCUUGCAGCGGUAUAGCUCGAGGGCUUUGCUCUUAUGCAGCACAUCCCUGUAGUUUUGAUGGGACACUGGCAAAAGUUCUCAAGGAGCUUUUUGCAGGAGCGGUGCUCUCUUCUGUCUCCUCAAGAAGUAAAGUCUUCCUGUAAAGUGAUUGCUGUGUUUUUUUUCGACAAGAGAAUGUAAGAGAACACGACAAGUCUUAAGUGGAGGAUCUUGAAACUAG